rnacentral:rRNA from 1 species
AGCCUGAUGCAGCCAUGCCGCGUGUAUGAAGAAGGCCUUCGGGUUGUAAAGUACUUUCAGCGGGGAGGAAGGCGAUACGGUUAAUAACCGUGUUGAUUGACGUUACCCGCAGAAGAAGCACCGGCUAACUCCGUGCCAGCAGCCGCGGUAAUCA